rnacentral:misc_RNA from 1 species
GCCUUCGGUGUUGUUGUUGAAAUUCCAGGAGAUCAAGUAGUUAUUGGGGUCUUGAAGGGACUGUUUUAUGGAUUGCAGGCACUCUAUAUCAGUCUUAGUGGCAUUACUCACUGUUAUUGAUCUGCUGCUCAGCAACACCAAGGCUAUGCAGAUCAAAGCGUAGGCAAGAACCACGAAAUUUAUGUCACUCAAUGCCAUGCCACAAACACAAAUAAAAGUUUCUCACUGGGUUAUUGGAAGAAGAAAUGGACCCAGAAC